UCAAACUAACUCCUGCUGAGAAAGCCCCUUCAGAAGCUGACCCAAUGCACUGGAUUUGCUGGGGAGCCAAGGCAUGGACACUCUCCUGAAAGUGAUUUCAGGCGCUCUGUUGUGGCAGUUGGCCUGUGUGAGAAGCCAAGAAGUGCAGCAGAGUCCUCAGUCCUGGAUCAUCCAAGAGGGCGAAGAUGUUACCAUCACGUGCAAUUCCUCAAAGACUUUAUAUUCCUUACACUGGUACCUUCAGAAGCAUGGUGAAGGUCCUGUCAUCUUGAUGAUAUUAAGGCAAGGUGGAGAAGAUAAAAAUCUUGACAAAAUAGUUGGCACGCUUAAUGAAAAAAAGCAGCAAAGCUCCCUGUACAUUGUGGCCUCCCAGCCCAGGCACUCAGGCACCUACUUCUGUGGAGUCGACACAGUGACACCCAGGCCUCCAAAGGCUGUACUCAAACCCGAAGCUGAGCCACAGAUGCUGUUCUAG